UACGAAGGGUGCAAGCGUUACUCGGAAUUACUGGGCGUAAAGCGUGCGUAGGUGGUUCGUUAAGUCUGAUGUGAAAGCCCUGGGCUCAACCUGGGAAUGGCAUUGGAAACUGGCGAUCUAGAGUGCGGUAGAGGGUAGUGGAAUUCCCAGUGUAGCAGUGAAAUGCGUAGAGAUCGGGAGGAACAUCUGUGGCGAAGGCGACUGCCUGGACCAGCACUGACACUGAGGCACGAAAGCGUGGGGAGCAAACAGG
rnacentral:rRNA from 1 species